AGAUUCCAAGGGAUUGCGGAAGCGGUUGCGAAACCGGCUUGAAUCAUCCUUUCCUUCGCCUCCUCGGGUGAGACAGUCGAAAUCUGGAAGGGAUCGCGUCUAUCUUUCCCCCUCCUCCUCCCCCCCCCCUCUCUCUGACUCUCUUCUUCCCAGAGGGAGGGGUCUUCACGGGACACCCCGAGGCAAGACCCACCUGGCAAGGGAUUCUUUUCCUCCUCUCCCCGGUGCAACAAAACGCGAGACUUCUCGGACCUCCUAAGGACCACGUGAUCAGGAAAAAGUUGGUUUCGAUUCCUAAGAACGGGGAUUUUUCCGGGCAGCCGCCUCUGAGAUCCGAACUCUCCGCCUCCUUGCUGUGUGCAGUUCUCUUGGAUUUGGGAGUCCCAGGUUCGAAUCCACGCUGCACAUGGAAGCUCACUCUACAGUUGCCAGAUCCAGGUUGAGAAACUCCAGGAGAUUUGGAGGUGGAGCCUGGGGAGGACAGGGACCUCAGUGGAAUACAAUGCCAGAGAAUCCCCCCUCCAAAGUAUCCAUUAUCCCUUGGUGAACUUGAUGUCUGUAGACUGGAGAUGAAUUCCAGGAGAUCCCACCUGGAGAUUUCUGCUUGGUUCCAGAUUUCCACAAUCCAGAUCCUUUUGCAUGUUUAUUGGACAUCCUGUCCUGUUGGUUGCAUUAAUUUACACUGUGUCAUCCACCUUAAGUUCCAGUGAGAAAGGUGGGCUAAAAAUAAAAUAAAUAGAUGAAAUAAA